AUUGAACGCUAGCGGCAUGCUUUACACAUGCAAGUCGAACGAGUGGCGGACGGGUGAGUAAUAUAUCGGAACGUGCCUAGUAGAGGGGGAUAACUACUCGAAAGAGUGGCUAAUACCGCAUACAAUUGGAUCGGCCGAUAUCGGAUUAGCUAGUUGGUGGGGUAAAGGCUCACCAAGGCAACGAUCCGGAGCUGGGUUGAGAGGACGACCAGCCACAAUGGGACUGAGACACGGCCCAGACUCCUACGUGAGGCAGCAGUGGGGAAUUUUGGACAAUGGGCGAAAGCCUGAUCCAGCCAUCCCGCGUGUAUGAGAAGGUCUUCGGGUUGUAAAGUACUUUUGGCAGAGAAGCGGUAUCUGCAGAAUAAGCACCGGCUAACUACGUGCCAGCAGCCGCGGUAAUAC
rnacentral:rRNA from 1 species